CCGGUGUAGUAGUUUGGAGCAGAAUAGUACUUGGGAGCAUCAGUAUAGUAAGCUGGAACAGCGUAGGUUUUAGUUUAAUACUCUGGAACUUUGGUGGUGUAGU